rnacentral:rRNA from 1 species
AGAUUGAACGCUAGCGGGAUGCUUUACACAUGCAAGUCGAACGGCAGCGCGGACUUCGGUCUGGCGGCGAGUGGCGAACGGGUGAGUAAUAUAUCGGAACGUGCCCAGUAGCGGGGGAUAACUACGCGAAAGCGUGGCUAAUACCGCAUACGCCCUACGGGGGAAAGGGGGGGAUCGCAAGACCUCUCACUAUUGGAGCGGCCGAUAUCAGAUUAGCUAGUUGGUGAGGUAAAGGCUCACCAAGGCGACGAUCUGUAGCUGGUUUGAGAGGACGACCAGCCACACUGGGACUGAGACACGGCCCAGACUCCUACGGGAGCAGCAGUGGGGAAUUUGGACAAGUGGGGGAAACCUGACCCAGCCAUCCCGCGUGUGCGAUGAAGGCCUUCGGUUGUAAGC